UUAAAUAAACAUUUUACCUUGGUAAGUAUGUUGCCCUCAAAGGCUUCUUUAUUUUUUUUCAUUAUUUCUAAAUUUUCACAAUCAAGGUUUUAUCAAUCUAAUUUUCUAUUUAGACAAUUAUUUGAAAAUACAUCGUCCACCUACACAUAUAUUCUUGGAGAUUUAGAAUCCAAGGAAUGCAUAAUUAUAGACCCAGUUCUUGAAACAGUUGAUCGUGAUGUCAAUUUAAUCAAAGAAUUGGGAUUAAAACUGAAAUAUGGAGUUAACACACAUAUGCAUGCUGACCAUAUUACUGGAACUAAAAAAAUUAAAAGUUUAAUAAAGACUUGUAAAUCAGUUAUAUCUUUGGCUAGUGGAGCUCAAGCUGACAUUCAUGUGAAAGAUCAUGAUAAAAUAUUAUUUGGAAAUGAAAUAUUACUUGCUAGAUCAACUCCUGGACACACGAAUGGAUGCAUGACAUAUAUCUCGCACAAGCAUAGAAUGGCUUUUACUGGUGACACCUUAUUAAUAAGAGGUUGUGGAAGGACCGAUUUUCAGGAAGGAAGUCCUGAAAUGUUGUACGAUUCUAUUUAUGAUGUUAUAUUUACCCUUCCGCCUGAUUAUCUACUCUUUCCUGCUCACGACUAUAAAGGUAUAAUGGCUACAUCUGUUGGAGAGGAGAAAAAAUAUAACCCAAGAUUGACUAAAUUUAAAUCUCAAUUCAUAAAAAUAAUGCAAGAUCUAAACUUACCUUACCCAAAACAAAUAGGUAAUAGCGAAUUUACUUAAAUCAUAAAUGGGUAAUUCCUUGACAAAUCGACCAGGGAUUCUGACGACCAUUUUAAAACUUGAUAAAGACAUUGCAGUUCCCGCAAAUAAAAUUUGUGGAGUUUACGAAGUGUUGAAACAGCCUAAUAUUACGAAGACAUAACAUAAAAUUAAUUACCUAUACGUAUUUAUUUAUUUAUCCUAGUUUAAUUUUUAUGCAAAUUAAAUCGUUUUUAUCAAAAUUAAAUAGUAGGUUUGUCUAUUAUUGUAUAAAAAUAGGCUAUGGCUUAAAAAGACAUGUUUAUAUGUAUCCAGAUCCACUUGAGAUUUAAUUUAUAUUUAAAUUAAGAAUUUUCAAAUUUUUAAUAUCUA